UAAUAUCUAACCGCCGGCGCACUGCAUGGCGAGGAGAGCAGCCGCGGCCAAUGCAUGCACUCGCAACUGCAAAUCGGCACCAGUCUAAUAUUACCCCCGGCGCCUGCAAUGCCUCCCUUCCGUCCUUCCGCCCAACACCAGUAUAGGCGAUCGAGCAGCGAUGGAGUGGCUAGCUGGGAAAGAAGAAGCAUCAAUGGCGCUAGCGAUGCUAGCGCCCUGCAACGCGGUGGAGGCAUGGAGCUGCACGCUUCGUAGCUAGCUGACCCUGGGCAGAGGCCAGCAGGAAACCUCGAGCUGCAAGCAGGGAUCAGAGACUGAACAAGGCAUCUAUAUGCAGUGGCUUCUGCUUCAUCUGCAGACGGGCUGGGACUGGGAGAGGGGGAGCAACCCUGCUAGCCUCUAAUGAAACAAUUUCACCUAUCUGAAGUUCUUCUCUAGUUCCUGCAAAAUUUGAGUUUAUUUCCCAGUUUUUAUGUCUGCACUAACAACUUGGGUUUGUUCCGAGAUCUUGACAAAUGCAGGGCAAUGCUGAUGAGCUCAGUUAAAAUCUGGUUCCCCAAGUUAACACUACGUUCAACUGCUAGCAAAUUACAGCUGUUUUUACAUCUCAUUGACCGUGCGUACGUGGUAAUAUGCAAUAAAUUCACGCACCUUCCUCUUGUCUGCUGCUGGAGUUACAGGCCACGGUGUGGUGUCGCCGACGCAACUUGCUGUAAACCUGUAACCUUAAUGGUAUGGUACGUGAGCAGCAGCAGAUCGAGCAGAAAUAUUCGCCGCGGGCAGGUGACCAAGCAGUGCAUCUCCUGUGCGAUUCGCGGAGCCCUCGUGCCGAAGCCUGAUGCGAAUGUGGCCGGCAGGGGCCACGCGAGGCUUGGUGUCCCUGCAACGCCGCGACGCGUUGCCACAUGCCCCUCUCUGUCAGCAGAGUGAUGACUGAAACAUGCGAGGAAGGAGGAGCCGCCGGACAGACCUUGAUUAAACUACAGCAAUCUUCUCAUCGGAGUCGGAGGCAGCGACGACGACUGAGCAGCAGCUCGCAUGGCAUGAUCAGCACAUGAGAGGUUGGUUGGUUGAUGAUGAGGACAACGACAAGAGGAAUCGUAGCCAUGGAGACAGGAAGUAAAGAUAAUAUAUAUACAAAGAGAAGCGCUAGUUUUCACUGCCAUGUCUGAUGGUGAAGCGGCAAGCAGGCGUGGGAUGCCAGUGAUGCCACGAUGAUCCUGCAAGUGGCUGAUGACUGCAUCGUGCAGCUAAUCUUUUUUUGCUGGGAACCUUAUCUCUCCGAUCUGCAUCUGCUCAAACCAAAGCUAGCUAUAUAAAGGCCAUCGGAAGCAGCAAGCCAGUCGCGCCCCAAUUACAAGAAGCGCAACAACACGCGAACACAGCUAGCAGCUGCUGUGUUCUCCAGUUCUUGUAGAGCCCUCCAUUGUUGCGACUUACAGCAGAGUCAGCGAGGAAGGAAGCUGAGAAUGAAGACGAAGGUUGGGAUGCGGCGGCAGAGAGGAGGGCAGGCGGCAGCGGCGCCUGGAGGGUUCAGCAGGUCCCUCAAGGAGCAGAGGUCCAAGGUGUACAUCGCCAUGCGAUGCGUCGUGAUGCUUCUCAGGUGGCAUGACUGAAGAUCCAUCGGCUCGGCGGUCGCCAUUCAGCACCAACUGACCAAGAUUUUGAAAGUUCACUGUUUUUUUUCUUGGGAGGGAGGAGUGUUCUCUCGACUGUCUUUUUUCUUAAUUUUUUUUUGUUCCGAUUGCCAGAAUGGUAGCGGGCAAGGUAGACGAUGCAUGUACAUAGAGAGUUCCAUAUAGAGAGGUGGAUACUAAUCAGACACAUACAACUUUAACUGUGGUACAUCCUGAUUGGAAGAAGAUUGUUUU